ensembl:lncRNA
AUGGUUGUGGAAGCCUCAGUUUCUGUUGAUGUUGCUGUUGUUGUUGUACUUGGUGAGGAUAUGAGAGUGGUUGUGGGGGUCACCUCUAUGGUUGUGGAAGCUUCAGUUUCUGUUGAUUGUGCUGUUGUUGUAUUUAGUGAGGAUAUCAGAGUGGUUGUUGGUGUCACCUCUGUAGUUGUGGAAGCUUCAGUUUCUGUUGAUGGUACUGUUGUUGUACUUCGUGAUGAUAUGAGAGUGGUUGUGGGGGUCACCUCUGUAGUUGUGGAAGCUUCAGUUUCUGUUGAUGGUGCUGUUGUUGUUGAACUUCGUGAUGAUAUGAGAGUGGUUGUGGGGGUCACCUCUCUAGUUGUGGAAGCUUCAGUUUCUGUUGAUGGUGCUGUUGUUGUUGUACUUGGUGAGGAUAUGAGAGUGGUUGUGGUAGUCACCUCUUUGGUUGUGGAAGCUUCAGUUUCCGUUGACGGUGCUGUUGUUGUUGAAGCAGCAUUUGUUGUUGUUGAUGCUGCAGUUGUACUUGGUGAGGAUAUGAGAGAGGAUGUGGGGGUCACCUCUUUGGUUGUGGAAACUUCAGUUUCUGUUGAUGGUGCUGUUGUACUUGGUAAGGAUAUGAGAGUGGUUGUGGUAGUCACCUCUAUGGUUGUGGAAGCUUCCGUUUCUGUUGAUGGUGCUGUUGUUGAUGAAGCAGGAGCAUUUGUUGCUGUUGAAGGUGCAGUUUUACUUGGUGAGGAUAUAAGUGUGGUUGUGGGGAUCACAUCUAUGGUUGUGGAAGCCUCAGUUUCUGUUGAUGGUGCUGUUGUUGUUGUACUUGGUGAGGAUAUGAGAGUGGUUGUGGUGGUCACCUCUUUGGUUGUGGAAGCUUCAGUUUCUGUUGAUGGUGCUGUUGUUAAUGAAGCAGCAUUUGUUGCUGUUGAAGGUGCAGUUGUACUUGGUGAGGAUAUAAGUGUGGUUGUGGGGAUCACAUCUCUGGUUGUGGAAACCUCAGUUUCUGUUGAUGGGGCUGUUGUACUUGGUAAGGAUAUGAGAGUGGUUGUGGUAGUCACCUCUAUGGUUGUGGAAGCUUCCGUUUCUGUUGAUGGUGCUGUUGUUGUUGUACUUGGUGAGGAAAUGAGAGUGGUUGUGGUGGUCACCUCUAUGGUUGUGGAAGCUUCAGUUUCUGUUGAUGGUGCUGUUGUUGUUGAAGCAGCAUUUGUUACUGUUGAAAGUGUAGUUGUACUUGGUGAGGAUAUAAGUGUGGUUGUGGGGGUCACCUCUAUGGUUGUGGAAGCGUUGGUUUCUGAUGAUGGUGCUAUUGUUGUACUUGGUGAGGAUAUAUGUGUGGUUGUGGGAAUGACAUCUAUGGUUGUGGAAGCUUCAGUUUCUGUUGAUGGUGCUGUUGUUGUUAAAGCAGCAUUUGUUGCUGUUGAUGGUGCAUUUGUACUUGGUGAGAAUAUGAGAGUGGUUGUGGGGAUCACAUCUGUGGUUGUGAAAGCUCCAGUUUCUGUUGUCAUUGAAAAUGACAUUGCUGUUUGACCUGUAGCUGUUGCUGAAGAUACAUUUUCUGUAGGAGCCUCAGUUGUAGAUGCAAUUGAUAUUGAAUCAGUAGUUGUUGGAGAUGUAGUUGUGAAAGUCGCAGCUAUGCAUGUAUUUUGUUUGAGGAUCAUAGCUGUGGUAAGAGAUGCUUUAGUUCUUAUUAUACAAACUUCACUGGCUGUUGAAAUUGGUGUUGUUGGUGUUAUGGAGGUUGUACCUCCACAAACAAUGCACCAUACAUAUACUGUCAAGAAAAAAAAAAAAAAAAGAAAAAAAAAUCAUUUAAUUGCUGUAUUAACUUUUGACCAUUUGAAAUUUAAAUUACACUAUUAUCAAAUUCCAUGAACAUUUUAAUAGCAUUUGAUUACGUCACAUUUUUAUUUAACAAUUUCUCAACACAAAAUAUCCAGAUUAAGAGUAUACGUACAUAUGGUGAGGAAUACGGUCCAUCUGGCCUCAUAUUUUGAAAUGAAACACCACCUAAAAUAGAAGAUAAACAAUUUAUAUUUUGUCUUUAAUAAAUUACAAAACAUUCAUGUAUUCAUGCUACUGAAUGCAACUUCUAAUUCACUGUGUUUAUUAAACAAAAUCUGUAAUUGUAUUUAAGGAGUAUAAUUAUAUGAAGAAGCACUGUAAGUCAAGACAAAGCUCUCAGCCAGGCCAGUUUACAUUAUAUGUUAGGGACCAGUUGGACUCUGCAUUCAAGAUAUAUACAUUUCUAUCAGCUUGCAUUCCCUGGGAAUAAAACCCAUGCACAGAGUCAUUCAAACAAACACUAAACACCAUCAAGGUAACACAAGUGAAACUGAAAGAAUGCAAUAAACAUUAAUUAAAAAAAUUAGAUGUAACAUACUACCCUAAUGUACAAAACUGAUGAGAAAAAAAAAACUAAGAAACAUUAUUUAAAAAAAAAAAAAAAAAAAAAAAACAUCAAACUUGAAAUGUAAUGCAGGGAAUUCUGGGAAUAUCAAUUUAUGGUUAUUCACUGUAAAUUAUAUGUUCUUUUUCUCACUUCCAAAAAUGGUAUACUACUGUAAAAUUACAUGUAUUGUCCAAUUCAGUUUUUCACCGUAUAUAGUAUCACAUAUCAUUAACCAUUUAACAGGUUUUUACUAUAGCAUUUUUAGCAAACUGUAGUCUUUUACCGUUAAAUUCACUGUCAUUUUUUACAGUGUUCUUUAAGGUUAGAUGAAAGCUGUUCCCGAUUAACCCAGAGGAAAAUGCUAAUCCAGAUGACUGUGAAUUGUUUUGUAACUGUCUUUUGGCAUGAAUUUGCAGUUUUUUCAGCUCUAAUCAAUGCUCAUGAAACAUCUGAUGUGUAUUCAUGGUUUUGCUGUGACUACCACAUGCUAAUUACUGUGAAGUCCACAACAUCAUAGGGCAGUGGUUCCCAAUCCUGUCCUGGAGAGCCCCCAAAACUGCACCUUUUGAUGUCUCUCUUAUCUGACACACAUUUUAGGUCUUGGAGUUUUUACUAAUGAACUGAUGAGUUCAAUCAGGUGUGUUUGAUUAGGGAAUCAUUUAAAAUAUGCAAUGUUGGGGGCAGUGGUUCCCAAUCCUGGUCCUGGAGAACUCCCAACAAUGGACGUUUUUGAUGUCUCUAUUAUCUAACACACAUUUGAGGUCUUGGAGUUUAUACUAAUGAACUGAUGAGUUCAAUCAGGUGUGUUUGAUUAGGGUGACAUUAAAAAUAUACAGUGUUGGGGAUUCUCCAGGACCAGGAUUGGGAACCAAUGCCAUAAGGUAUCCUAUUUGUCAUUUUAGAUUUCAAAAGUCUGCUCAUGAGCACCCCCUGGUGACUGAAUACAUAGCCUCAAUGCAUACUUUUGCCAUCUAUCCAGUGCACUACCCAACAAAUUUAUACAGCAUUAGGUCACCAAUGUAUGAAUGUGAUGUCACCAGUAAUUAUUAAUCAUUUCUGAUUUAAUUAUCAUCUAUUAAAGCUCAAAAUGGGUUCGACAUAAUACCAAAUUUAAUAACUGGGUUACUUCAAUUUGCGAGACGGAAUUUUACGUAAAUCCAAUUGGCCUCAUUUUUUUAUCUAUCUAUCUAUCUAUCUAUCUAUCUAUCUAUCUAUCUAUCUAUCUAUCUGCCUGUCUAUCUGUCUGUCUAUCAUUCUGUCCAUCUCUCUGUUUUUCUACUUUUCAACAAACAAGGCUUUUUCAAGCCAACAUUCUUGCUUUUCUAGAUGAAAAUUACAGAUUUUUUUAUUUUUUUAAUUCAGUUUAAUUCUACUUCCUUACUUGGUGCCUCAUUUGAAAUUUAAGUUUAAGAAAUGAAUUGUAAUUUACAUUACAUUACAUUUACAUUUAGUCAUUCAGUAGACGCUUUUAUCCAAAGCAAACAAAUGAGGAUGACGGAAGCAAUCAAGAUCAAUAAAAGAGCAAUUAUAUGCAAGUGCUCUAACAAGUCUCAGUUAACUUAAUGCAGUACAUGUGGCAAAGUUUUUUAAAUCAUAAAUAAAAUAAAAUAAAAUAAAAUAAAAUAAAAUAAAAUAAAAUAAAAUAAAAUAAAAUAAAAUAAAAUAAAAUAAAAUAAAAAGAUAGAAUAGGAAAAGAAUAGAGCAAGCUAUAGUGUUAGAGGCCUUUUUUGCUUUUGGUAAUUGUAUAAUCAAUAAAAAAAGAAAACAGAUAGAAUACAAAAAGAUUAGAGAAGCUAGUGUUAGUUUCUUUUUUUUUUUUAAAGAAAACAAGUUGUUAGUAAAAGAAUAAAAUUAGAAUAGAGAGUGCUAGAGUUAUAGGGUCAAAUAAAGAUGGAAGAGAUGUGUUUUUAGCCAAUUCUUAAAGAUGGCUAAGGACUCAGCUGCUCGGAUUGAGUUGGGCAGGUCAUUCCACCAGAAGGGAACAUUUCAUUUAAAAGUCUGUGAAAGUGAAUUUGUGCCUCUUUGGGAUGACACAAUAAAGCGACGUUCACUUGCAGAACGCAAGCUUCUAGAGGGCACAUAAGUCUGAAGUAAUGUAUUUAGGUAAUGCAGUGCAAAUUUUAAUUUAGCAAUUUAAAAGGCAUUCUUAAUUAAAUUCUUAAUUGCUUUAAAGUUAAUACAAGUUUACAACAAAUCACAAAAGCAGACACAGGGCUAUUUUAAACAGAUAACAUUUUUACAUACUAUAAAUGUUGUUGUAUUGAAUAUUAUGUAUUAUUGAGUGCUAUACAGUAUUAUAUGCUGUAUGAUUUCAAUCAUUUUAAAUGUAAUAAUUCACCUACCUCCUUCGGCUGUUUAAAGUCAUAACCAUAUAGACCAAACGGUAUUGCAAAGCUCUGUGUGAUUUGUCUUCUUAGUUCAAAUGUAACAGACUGAAAAGAGUAAUUUUGUGCGAUACUAUAUCAAAGGUAUGUUGACGUGUAGGGUGUGGUAAAAAGUGUAGUUCAGCGACCGAACCCUGUAGUACGCAAUACAGAAGCAUGAUGGUAUUAUUU